rnacentral:rRNA from 1 species
CUUUAAAGAAUGCGUAAUAGCUCACUAAUCGAGCAAUCCAGCGCCUAAAAUGUACCGGAGCUAAGUUCAGCACCGAAGCUACGGGCUCGUAAGAGCGGUAGAGGAGCGUUCCUGCAGGAUUGAAGGUGUACCGUAAGGAGCACUGGACUUGCAGGAAGUGAGGAUGCAGGCAUGAGUAGCGAUAAUGCCGGUGAGAUUCCGGCACACCGUAAACCCAAGGGUUCCUCAGCAAGGCAACUCCGCUGAGGGUUAGUCGGCCCCUAAGACGUAGCCGAAUGGUGAUGUCGAUGGGAAACAGGUUUAUAUUCCUGUACUACGGUGGUGAGGUUAUACCGACGGGGUGACGCAGAAGGAUAGGAGAAAGGACAGAUGGUGUUCCUGAUAAGGUGGUAAGCUUUGAGGGUUGUUGGAAAAUCCGCAACCUGAGCCGAGAGCCAAUAUCGAUCUCAGUUUCGGCUGAGCGUAGUCUUCAAUUCCAUGCUGCCUAGAAAAACCUCUAAGGGACAAUCCACCGUAACCGUACUCUAAACUGACACAGGUGGGUGAGGAGAAUAUCCUAAGGUGCGCGAGAGAAAUCUGGUUAAGGAACUCGGCAAAUUGACCCCGUAACUUCGGGAGAAGGGGUGCCUCAUUAGUGUGAAAGUCCUGCGACUGGAGCAUGAAGAGGCCGAAGUGAAGAGCUCGCGGCGACUGUUUACCAAAAACAUAGGUCUCUGCUAACACGUAAGUGGAAGUAUAGGGACUGACACCUGCCCGGUGCUGGAAGGUUAAGGAGAGAUGUUAGUCUUCGGACGAAGCUUCGAACUGAAGCCCCAGUAAACGGCGGCCGUAACUAUGACGGUCCUAAGGUAGCGAAAUUCCUUGUCGGGUAAGUUCCGACCUGCACGAAUGGCGUAACGAUGGCCACACUGUCUCCACCCGAGACUCAGUGAAAUUGAAAUCGCGGUUAAGAUGCCGUGUACCCGCACUUAGACGGAAAGACCCCGUGAACCUUUACUAUAGCUUUGCACUGGACUUUGAAUUUGCUUGUGUAGGAUAGGUGGGAGGCUUUGAAGCUGAAGCGCCAGCUUUAGUGGAGCCAUCCUUGAAAUACCACCCUUACACGAUUGAAGAUCUAACCGGCGAACGCUGGGACAAUGUCAGGCGGGUAGUUUGACUGGGGCGGUCGCCUCCUAAAGAGUAACGGAGGCGUUCAAAGCUACACUCAAUAUGGUCAGAAACCAUAUGCAGAGCACAAAGGUAAAAGUGUGGUUGACUGCAAGACUUACAAGUCGAGCAGGUGCGAAAGCA